rnacentral:rRNA from 1 species
UGCAGUCGAGCGGUAGCACAGAGAGCUUGCUCUCGGGUGACGAGCGGCGGACAGGUGAGUAAUGUCUGGGAAACUGCCUGAUGGAGGGGGAUAACUACUGGAUACGGUAGCUAAUACCGCAUUUCGUCGCAAGAUGAAGUGGGGGACCUUCGGGCCUCAUGCCAUCAGAUGUGCCCCUAUGGGAUUAACUAGUAGGUGGGGUAACGGCUCACCUAGGCGACGAUCCCUAACUGGUCUGAGGGAUGACCCCCCACACUGGAACUGAGACACAGUCCAGACUCCUACGGGAGGCACUGAUGGGGAAUAUUGCCCAAUGGGCGCAAGCCUGAUGCAGCCAUGCCGCGUGUGUGAAGAAGGCCUUCGGGUUGUAAAGCACUUUCAACGGGGAGGAAGGCGCUGAGGUUAAUACCCUCAUCGAUUGACGUUACCCGCAGAAGAAGCACCGGCUGACUCCGUGCCACCCGCCGCGGUAAUACGGAGGGUGCAAGCGUUACUCGGAAUUACUGCCCGUAAAUGGCACUCAUGCGGUCUGUCUAGUCUGAUGUGAAAUCCCCGGGCUUUACCUGGGAACUGCAUUCGAAACUGGAUGGCUAGAGUCUUGUAGAGGGGGGUAGAAUUCCAGGUGUACCGUAGAGAUGCUUAGAUAUCUGGAGGAAUACCGGUGGCGAAGAGCGGAUCCCUGGACAAAGACUGACGCUCACGUGCGAAUAGUCGUGCGGUAGCAGACAUGAUCUACUAUCACGCCUGC